rnacentral:rRNA from 1 species
GACGAACGCUGGCGGCGUGCCUAAUACAUGCAAGUAGAACGCUGAAGGAGGAGCUUGCUUCUCUGGAUGAGUUGCGAACGGGUGAGUAACGCGUAGGUAACCUGCCUGGUAGCGGGGGAUAACUAUUGGAAACGAUAGCUAAUACCGCAUAAUAGUAGAUGUUGCAUGACAUUUGCCUAAAAGGUGCAAUUGCAUCACUACCAGAUGGACCUGCGUUGUAUUAGCUAGUUGGUGGGGUAACGGCUCACCAAGGCGACGAUACAUAGCCGACCUGAGAGGGUGAUCGGCCACACUGGGACUGACACACGGCCCAGACUCCUACGGGAGGCAGCAGUAGGGAAUCUUCGGCAAUGGACGGAAGUCUGACCGAGCAACGCCGCGUGAGUGAAGAAGGUUUUCGGAUCGUAAAGCUCUGUUGUAAGAGAAGAACGAGUGUGAGAGUGGAAAGUUCACACUGUGACGGUAUCUUACCAGAAAGGGACGGCUAACUACGUG